UACGUAGGGUGCGAGCGUUAAUCGGAAUUACUGGGCGUAAAGCGUGCGCAGGCGGUUUUGCAAGCCGGAUGUGAAAUCCCCGGGCUCAACCUGGGAAUGGCAUUCGGGACUGCAAGGCUGGAGUGCGGCAGAGGAGACUGGAAUUCCUGGUGUAGCAGUGAAAUGCGUAGAUAUCAGGAGGAAUACCGAUGGCGAAGGCAGGUCUCUGGGCCAUAACUGACGCUGAGGAGCGAAAGCGUGGGGAGCGAACAGG
rnacentral:rRNA from 1 species